rnacentral:lncRNA from 1 species
CAGGAAUGAUUUGAAAUAUAUGUUUUGCUGAAAUAUAUGUUAAAUUCUAGUGCCUCAUUGGUCAGGGGAAUGGCAAGGGAAAAAUCUCCUCAAUCGUUUACUAGGCAGAGCUUCAUGAGAGACUGCAAUCAACAAGUAAUCAUCGAGUCAUGCAUAGUAGGCUAAAAACAUGCUGCAGCCAGUGUGUGUCUUUGACCUGGACUCCUGAAUCUGGGUCAGGACAUAACUGUCAACCCCAUGCUACCAGAAAUUAAGUGAUUUUUGCCUAGUGACUAGGCAGGCAAACUGUUUUUGCAUGUUGUUCAUAAAAAAUGUUCAAAACAUCCUCUGAGUAGUCAUGGGCAUAACUGAAUAGUGUAACCACUUUGCUGACAUCACAGUGGGUGAGGAAGAUGGCAUCAUGGGAGUGAAAAUUAGCUUUGUCAUGAGUCCCUUGUCUUCCAGAAACUUGCCCUCAUCCCUUAGGAAAGUGUCCAUAAUGGAGUACACACAAACGCUUUCAUCCAUGCCUGUGACAGGCACCAUGACACUGCUGGAGUGCGCUACCACAGCUUCAGACUCAUAGCUAGGAUUGUGUAUGUGAAGCCCUUCUAGUCCUUCAGAAAGACAAUACUCCCAAUACACACAUUCAGGACAGGGCUGACAGCUGAGCACUUUGGUUCACAACACCUUGUCUGCUGUCAUCCCACACCAUAAGGAAGGCUGAUGUUCAUACUUCAAAAUAUGCUCCUUUUGCAUGGUAUCCCAGUCCUUGGCUUCCCAGAUAUACCUCCAGGUUCCACAGAGUCCACUGUUACAUACUCAGCCUCUACUGCUCUUUGGACAUGCUCCAUGUGGACAUCAUCAGCAAGCUGGAAUAUCAAUUACUGAAAUGAGUGGAGCUCAUCCUUGAAGUUUCUUCUCUCUGCUGCAAGUAGACAUAUGUCAGCAUACAGGGAAUAGCACAGAUGUAUCAAAGUCUUUCAAGUAACCAGGCAUCUUUGUGUAAUGGAGCAGGCUGUGGUUGACAUAUUAAAUCUUAAAAAGAAAAAGAAGCCACUUUGUACUGAGAACAAAAAGAGCUGCAAGAGAGAAAAAUUGAUCCCUGGUGGUAUGGAUGCCAUGGUUAUCUUGCUGGUCUCUAAACAACUUCAAGAAAUGAAACAAUUUCAAGCAACAGAAACUGGAUAAGAAGAUAUUUUUGAAAGUUCUUUCCUUCAUUUUUGAAGUAUCAUUUUUCUGUUGAAGAGAACAUUGGUUAGGAAAACUAUCCUUACAAGUUGAUCCAGAGACUAUAUUUUCUUUAUUUGCUUUCAUUAUACAAAAAUACUUCUACCAUUAUCUGUACUCUUUACUACAUUAUUCUUUUUAAGUGUAUGGCAUGAAGCAGCACAAAUAAAAUCUAGAAAGCAUGAAAAUUUAUUGAGUUAUUUAGCUAUUUUCAUUGUGUUCUCACUGUCA